rnacentral:rRNA from 1 species
AGCGAACGCUGGCGGCAGGCCUAACACAUGCAAGUCGAACGAAGUCUUCGGACUUAGUGGCGGACGGGUGAGUAACACGUGGGAACGUGCCUUUAGGUUCGGAAUAACUCAGGGAAACUUGUGCUAUACCGAAUGUGCCCUUCGGGGGAAAGAUUUAUCGCCUUUAGAGCGGCCCGCGUCUGAUUAGCUAGUUGGUGAGGUAAAGGCUCACCAAGGCUACGAUCAGUAGCUGGUCUGAGAGGAUGACCAGCCACAUUGGGACUGAGACACGGCCCAAACUCCUGCGGGAGGCAGCAGUGGGGAAUUUUGCGCAAUGGGCGAAAGCCUGACGCAGCCAUGCCGCGUGGAUGAUGAAGGUCUUAGGAUUGUAAAAUCCUUUCACCGGUGAAGAUAAUGACUGUAGCCGGAGAAGAAGCCCCGGCUAACUUCGUGCCAGCCGCCGCAGUAAUAC